ACUAACAAGGAUUCCCCUAGUAACGGCGAGUGAAGCGGGAAGAGCUCAAAUUUGAAAUCUGGCAGUCUUCGAUUGUCCGAGUUGUAAUCUAUAGAGGCGUUUUCCGUGCCGGACCGUGUCCAAGUCUCCUGGAAAGGAGUAUCAAAGAGGGUGAUAAUCCCGUACUUAACACGACCACCGGUGCUCUGUGAUACGUCUUCUACGAGUCGAGUUGUUUGGGAAUGCAGCUCAAAAUGGGUGGUGAAUUCCAUCUAAAGCUAAAUAUUGGCGAGAGACCGAUAGCGAACAAGUACCGUGAGGGAAAGAUGAAAAGCACUUUGGAAAGAGAGUUAAACAGUACGUGAAAUUGUUGAAAGGGAAACGAUUGAAGUCAGUCGUGUUCUUUGGAUUCAGCCAGUUCUGCUGGUCUACUUCCUUGGAACGGGUCAACAUCAGUUUUGUCCGGUGGAUAAAGGUAGUAGGAAUGUGACUUCUCCGGAAGUGUUAUAGCCUAUUAUCACAUACACUGGGUGAGACUGAGGACUGCAGCUCGCCUUUAUGGCCGGCCUUCGGGCACGUUCGAGCUUAGGAUGUUGACAUAAUGGCUUUA
rnacentral:rRNA from 1 species